AGUACUACGCUCACAGCCCAGCUAUCUGACUUGCCAUGCUUAACAACUCAGAGGCCCAAUCUAAGCAAAGAGACUCGCCACUUAUUUACCAAUCAUAUCAUCGAAGAUGUCAUCCUUAGGCAAGAGAAGACGAGAAGAUAGGACUUCCUCUAGCAAUUUAUUUAAAUCAUCUAAAAAAAGCUCGAAUGAAUACAAACAAGAGGACCUUCCCCCGAACUAUCCCUCAGAAAUAAAUCUAAACUUCAAAAAUACCAAUUGGGAUCCCCAAAGAAAAACUAGAGGACAAAUUUGGCCUAAACUAAAAAAAAUUUAUCAGCUAGAAAAUUAUGACCAAUAUCCUCCAACCACCGUCACGCAUAUGAGCAUAGAAGCGCCCGUGUCAGUUCUCCCUCCCAAAAAAUAUUGUGACAUCACGGGCUUUGAAGCACGAUACACUUACCCAUCAAAUGGCAUACGGUAUGCCAAUGCAGAAGUCUAUCAAUGGAUUCUCCAAAACCUGACUACGUUCGAGAGUCAGCAAGAAGUUCUGGGUCUUCGAGGCGCAGAGACGCGAAUUAAAUAGCUUGAUAAGUGCCCAUUUUAUGUGCAACAAAAUCUGUUUUAAUGGCUACCACCUUUCUAAAAGAUCUACACAACCUGGAUACAAAAA